rnacentral:rRNA from 1 species
UAAUGUAUGGGGAUCUGCCUGAUGGCGGGGGAUAACUACUGGAAACGGUAGCUAAUACCGCAUAACGUCGCAAGACCAAAGAGGGGGACCUUCGGGCCUCUUGCCAUCAGAUGUGCCCAGAUGGGAUUAGCUAGUAGGUGGGGUAAUGGCUCACCUAGGCGACGAUCCCUAGCUGGUCUGAGAGGAUGACCAGCCACACUGGAACUGAGACACGGUCCAG